GGAGGGUGCAAGCGUUGUUCGGAAUUACUGGGCGUAAAGCGCGCGUAGGCGGUUUUGUAAGUCAGAUGUGAAAGCCCAUGGCUCAACCAUGGACGUGCAUUUGAAACUGUGAGACUUGAGUAUUGGAGGGGGUGGUGGAAUUCCCGGUGUAGAGGUGAAAUUCGUAGAUAUCGGGAGGAAUACCAGUGGCGAAGGCGACCACCUGGCCAAAUACUGACGCUAAUGUGCGAAAGCGUGGGGAGCAAACAGGAUUAGAUACCCUGGUAGUCCACGCCGUAAACGAUGUCAACUAGGUGUUGGGACGGUUAAUCGUCUCAUUGCCGCCAGUAACGCAUUAAG
rnacentral:rRNA from 1 species